rnacentral:rRNA from 1 species
CCUUGACACACGUGGUCGGGUAGAACAUACUGAGGCGUUGAGAGAUUCAUGGUUAAGGAACUAGGCAAAUUGACCCUGUAACUUCGGGAUAAAGGGUCCUCGUGAAUAGCGAGGCGCUGAGAAUAGGUCCAGGCAACUGUUUAACAAAAACACAGGGCUGUGCAAACUCGAAAGAUGACGUAUACAGCCUGACACCUGCCCGGUGCCGGAAGGUUAAGAGGAGAUGUCACUCGCAAGAGGAAGCAUUGAAUUGAAGCCCCGGUAAACGGCGGCCGUAACGAUAACGGUCCUAAGGUAGCGAAAUUCCCUGUCGGGUAAGUUCCGACCUGCACGAGUGGUGUAAUGAUCCGGACGCUGUCUCAACCAUGAGCUCAGUGAAAUUGUAGUAUCGGUGAAGAUGCCGAUUACCCGCGAUGGGACGAAAAGACCCCGUGAACCUUUACUACAGCUUAGCAUUGACCUUGGUCAUCCGAUAUGUAGGAUAGGCCGGAGGCUUCGAAGCGGGAGCGCCAGCUUUCGUGGAGCCAUCCUUGAAAUACGGCCCUUUGGCUGUCUGAGGUCUAACGCGCGAUGCGCGGACACUGCUUGGUGGGUAGUUUGACUGGGGUGGUCGCCUCCAAAAGCGUAACGGAGGCUUCCAAAGGUGCCCUCGGGUCGAUUGGUAACCGACCUCAAAGAGUGCAAUGGCAUAAGGGCGCUUGACUGGGAGGCAGACAUGCCGAGCAGGCAGGAAACUGGGGCAUAGUGAUCCGGCGGAUGUGUAUGGAAACUCCGUCGCUCAAAGGAUAAAAGGUACUCCGGGGAUAACAGGCUGAUCCCCCCCAAGAGCUCAUAUCGACGGGGUGGUUUGGCACCUCGAUGUCGGCUCGUCACACCCUGGGGCUGGAGAAGGUCCCAAGGGUUGGGCUGUUCGCCCAUUAAAGUGGCACGCGAGCUGGGUUCAGAACGUCGUGAGACAGUUCGGUCUCUAUCUAUCGUGGGCGUGGGAGUUUUGCGUGGUGCCGUCACUAGUACGAGAGGACCGUGAUGGACAGACCUCCGGUUUACCAGUUGUGCCGCCAGGCGCACCGCUGGGUAUCUGAGUCUGGAUUGGAUAAGCGCUGAAAGCAUCUAAGUGCGAAGCCAGCCGCAAGAUGAGAACUCCAUUGAGGGUCGUCAGAGACGAUGACGUUGAUAGGAUGCAGGUGUAAAGACAGCGAUGUCAAAGCCGAGCAUUACUAAUUGCUC